rnacentral:rRNA from 1 species
AGUUCGGACUGUAGGCUGCAACUCGCCUACACGAAGUCGGAAUCGCUAGUAAUCGCGGAUCAGCAUGCCGCGGUGAAUACGUUCCCGGGCCUUGUACACACCGCCGUCACACCAUGGGAGUUUGUAACGCCCAAAGUCGGUGGCCUAACCUUUAUGGAGGGAGCCGCCUAAGGCGGGACAGAUGACUGGGGUGAAGUCGUAACAAGGUACC